CUGAUACAGCGCUACAACUAACGUUUAGCAGUAGCGCGCUUCGGGCCGCGCUACUGCUAUAGCUACUUACCAGUAGCGCUAUCCAUACCAGCGCUACUGCUAAGUGGCUUAUCAGUAGCAUAUUCCUGUUUAGCGCUAAAGAGCGCUACUACUAUAUUUUCAUAUAUCCUUUUUUGCUACGUAUUUGUGAUGUUUUUGUACAUAUUUUAAACAGUAUUAUAUGAUGAGCAUAUUGCCAGUUUAUGAUAUGAUUAUCAUACACAUAAUAGUCUCAUCAUAUCAUCCAGCACAAAUCAUGUCGUCACAUCAUAAUCAUGAUAUAGCUAUACAAGUUACAUUGGCUAUGCAUCAACGGAGGCACAACAUCAUUUGGUAGUUUCUAUUGAAGAACGUAAUAGUAGCCUAGUUAGCAAUGUAAGGUGAGGCCUGCCGUCUCGUCAAGCUUGAUGGUGAAGAACCUGACCACUCGCACGUGAGGUAUAUCGCACAAACCGUAAUCUUCGCCGCAGAGUUCACACUCACGGAUCCUAUCGUCGUCACACAGUUCCUGUGUUCAGAAAUUCGGCAUGACCAUUAUUAAAAUAAAACAUAUUGAGCGCCCGAAAUUUGCCAGAAUGGAAAUGAAUCAACAUUCCGGAAAAACAUAUUCACUAGGAGGUGUUCCAUGCAAUAACAUACACAUGUCCAAAUAGACCUAAUUAAAUAUCGGUUGACUUUCGGUUAGUCGAGGCUUUCCUUAAAUAACUCUCAUAUCUCAUGGUGUGUUGGUGUGCACUUUCUCACACUGAUAUGA
rnacentral:lncRNA from 1 species